AUUACACAAUGCAUUACUUAAAGAAUAAGACUUAAGGGUCAAAAUCACUCCUUGAUCCAUGAACUGCAGAAUGAAUGUUGUGUUAGCAGGCAUGAAAAUGAAAUUAAUCUCCUUACACAUUUCUAUCAGAUCUACUGGGUGAGCCAUUGCAUUGUCAAUGAGCAGUAAUACGUUGAAAGGAAAAGCUUUUUCUAAAUAGUAGUUCUCAACAGUGGGUUUAAAAUACUCAGUAAACCAUGAUAUAAACAGAUAUAUUGUCAUCCAGGCUUUGUUGUUCCAUUUAUAGAGAAAAGGCAGAGUAGACUUAGCAUAAUUGCAGAUCACGAGGUCAGGAGUUCGAGACCAGCCUGACCAACAUGGUGAAACCCCGUCUCUACUAAAAAUACAAAAAUUAGCUGGGAGUGGUGGCAAGUGCCUGUAAUCCCAGCUACUCAGGAGGUGGAAGUAGGAGAAUCGAGAGAUAGAUUCCAAUACAAUAAUAAUUAGGAAAUUCAACCCCCAACUUUUAGUGUUAGACAGAUCAUCUUGCCAGAAAAUCAACAAAGAAACAUCCAAUUUAAACUACACUAUAGACCAAAUUGACUUAACAGAUAUUUACACCUGCAGAAUACUCAUUCUUUUCAUCAGUGCAUGGACAUCAUUCAGAAUUUACUCUAUGUUAGGCCACAAAAAAUUCUCAACAAAAUGUACAAAAAACUGAAAUCAUAUCAAGUAUCUUUCCUAACUUCAAUGAAGUAAAACUAAAAAUCAACCACCAAAGGAAUUUUUGAAACUGCACAAAUACAUGGAAAUCAAACAACAUGUUCCUAAAUGACCAAUGAGUCAAUAAGGAAAUUAAUGAAAAAAAUUAAAAUUUUCUUAAAACAAAUUAAAAUAGAAACCCAGCAUUCCAAAACCUAUGUAAUACAGCAAAAGUAGUAUUAAGAGAAAACUAUAUAGCAAUAAAUGCCUACCUCACAAAAAGUUAUUGGGAGGCUGAGGCAGGAGUAUCACCUGAGUCCAGGAGUUUGGGAAAAACCUGGGCAACA
rnacentral:lncRNA from 1 species